rnacentral:rRNA from 1 species
CGACCGGCAAACGGGUGCGGAACACGUACAGAACCUUCCUUUGAGCGGGGAAUAGCCCGGAGAAAUCCGGAUUAAUACCCCAUAGUAAAUUGAAAAGGCAUCUUUUUAAUUUUAAAGAUUUAUCACUCGAAGAUGGCUGUGCGCCUGAUUAGGUAGUUGGCGGAGUAACGGCCCACCAAGCCUUCGAUCAGUAACUGGUGUGAGAGCACGACCAGUCACACGGGCACUGAGACACGGGCCCG